AAAGGAAUUGACGGGACCCGCACAAGCAGCGGAGCAUGUGGUUUAAUUCGAAGCAACGCGAAGAACCUUACCAGAUCUUGACAUCCAAUUGACCAUCUUUUAAUCGAGAUUUUGCCUUCGGGUACAAUUGAGACAGGUGGUGCAUGGUUGUCGUCAGCUCGUGUCGUGAGAUGUUGGGUUAAGUCCCGCAACGAGCGCAACCCUUGUGUUUUAGUUGCAAACAGGUCAAGCUGUGCACUCUAGACAGACUGCCGUGGACAACACGGAGGAAGGUGGGGAUGACGUCAAAUCAUCAUGCCCCUUAUGAUCUGGGCUACACACGUGCUACAAUGGCCGGUACAACGGGCAGCGAAGGAGCGAUCCGGAGCGAAUCCUAAAAAGCCGGUCCCAGUUCGGAUUGCAGGCUGAAACUCGCCUACAUGAAGUUGGAGUUGCUAGUAAUCGCGCAUCAGCCAUGGCGCGGUGAAUACGUUCCCGGGCCUU
rnacentral:rRNA from 1 species